GCUUAACACAUGCAAGUCGAGGGGCAGCAUUAGGUAGCAAUACUGAGAUGGCGACCGGCGCACGGGUGCGUAACGCGUAUCCAACUUUCCCGUUACUCUGGGAUAGCCUUCCGAAAGGGAGAUUAAUACCGGAUGGUGUUGAAAAUUCGCAUGUUUUUUCAACUAAAGAUUUAUCGGUAACGGAUAGGGAUGCGUGACAUUAGGUAGAUGGCGGGGUAACGGCCCACCAUGCCUACGAUGUCUAGGGGUUCUGAGAGGAAGGUCCCCCACACUGGAACUGAGACACGGUCCAGACUCCUACGGGAGGCAGCAGUGAGGAAUAUUGGUCAAUGGYCGGAAGRCUGAACCAGCCAAGUAGCGUGAAGGAUGAAGGUUCUAUGGAUUGUAAACUUCUUUUAUAUAGGAAUAAAACCUCCCACGUGUGGGAGCUUGUAUGUACUAUAUGAAUAAGCAUCGGCUAACUCCGUGCCAGCAGCCGCGGUAAUACGGAGGAUGCGAGCGUUAUCCGGAUUUAUUGGGUUUAAAGGGAGCGUAGACGGGAUGUUAAGUCAGUUGUGAAAGGCUGCGGCUCAACCGCAGCACUGCAGUUGAUACUGGCGUCCUUGAGUGCGGUUGAGGUGUGUGGAAUUCGUGGUGUAGCGGUGAAAUGCUUAGAUAUCACGAA
rnacentral:rRNA from 1 species